rnacentral:lncRNA from 1 species
UUGACCGCUUGUGACGUGAUCAAUCAUCCAAGCAAGAUGUUGUGUGUCCCACUUUAGCUUCCUCGGGCCGCCGCGUCACACGGCCCGCCGCCACCGCAGGCCGCCAGCCGAGGCCCGCUGGGAGAGGCUCAAACCUCAGGGAGGAAGAGGAAAUGUGCUGCUGUCCUGCUGGUCAUCAACAUAAUUCACUGCAAGCUCUCCUAGAAACCACAAGGAGGACGAGUCAGUGUUCCUAUCGAGGCCAUUGCAGCACCACCCGGUCUCCACCCGUCGGGCUGUCAGCGUUCAUUACCUCCAGCCCAACAAACAGAUACUUCCUGCACAAAGGUAAAACACACUCCACUGAUGAACAAACAGAUAAUAAUGAACAUGGACUUCGGGAUUUUAUAGUCACCGUUUUACAGACAAUAAAACGUGAAUAAAAAAGUCAAAACAGAGAAAUCUGACUUUGGAAAUAAAAAUGUUGAUCAGUCUCGGUUAAUUUAUGACCCCUGAGUGACACAGAGACGUCUGGACAGCGAGUGUAAGCUGUCAUAAAGGUUUAAACAGAGCUAAUGGUUGGUGUUAACAGGCAGGGAGGAAACAACCUCCACCUCCACCUCCUGUAACCCACAUCUGAGCUUCCACUCCCUGCAGGCUGCUCAAACACACACAGCUUUGAUUAAAGACACAUUCACACACAUUUAUAUAGAUUUAUAAAACCCCAUAUAUGUCUGUUCCCACACCUCUUCCCACAUUUUUCAUAAGCAUCUAGAUUUUAAAGACACAUUUCUGUUUGUUGAGCUUCUCCAGAUGAAAUCUAGAUACUGACCAGGAUGAGCUGAGAGCUUCAGGACAUCAGGAACUAAAACUCAGAGGACAGAUGAAACAAAAUCCACAGUUAAUUUCUACGAAGUCGAGGAGCUCAUGAUAAAAUCACGUGUAUGUGUUGAAAAGAACAUACAAAUACAAUAGAUAUUGUACAUGGGACGACCCUGCUGAGCUUGGACUAAUGUUACCUGGUUUUGACGAGCCAGGAUUUUCCACCUGGAGGCUCUGCAGCAGCUGAAGAGGUCAGUUUGUUUACUGGGGAAACUACAGGUCAGAAUCCACUGUGUCAGCACUGCUGAUGAAUGUUUGUCUUACAGCUAACUGACAGAAAUUCCUAACAACAUUAAUGAUAUUUUAGAAAAGAUAAUUUGACUAUAAAUGGCUUUAAAGGGAUAUUCCGGUGUAAGUUUAAUCCAUGGUCUAACAGACCGUGAAACUGUGUUAGACUCCCUCUCGAGAGAUCAAGUUAGCAGACCGCUAAUUUACGGAGUUUUAUCAACCUCAGAAACGACCGCACGACAACAAUACACUGCAGUAAAUGGAUCCAAAUAUAAACCGCCACCAAAAAGCCACAAAUAAUGCUCAGAACAGCAC